AUUUAUCCACGGAAUACAGGUGUGCUCUUUCAAAGGGACACAUGCACCCCUGUGUUUAUAGCAGCACUAUCAACAAAAGCCAAGGAUGAGUUGGCAGUGUGGAACAGCACUUCAAAUGGGAAUUAUAAGACUGAAUAUUCGGUGCAGUACUUCUAAGUUUUGUCAAGCUGUGUGGCCUUGAGGAAGUCAUUUCAUAUCCCUAUAUCUCCAAUCCCUCUUCCCAAAAGUAAAGAAAAUGAUAUCUGACUUGCUGUAGAUUUGCUGUUGUGAGGAUCACAGCAGUGUCACAUAUAAAAGUACCAUGAAAGCUUUAAGUCACUAAACAGAUGUAAAGUAUUCUCAACCAUGCAAAAUAUAAAAGCAUAAAAGUUUGUUACUAUUAUAAAUGUGAACGGGCAUUUCCCAGGGACUUUAGUACGAAGGUAAAAGAAUACUGACUUGAAUUUUGCAAUAAAAACAUGCAUUCUUUAACUCCAGGGUCCAGUAGAUGCAGCUCAGAUUUUUCAGGCACAUCCUCCCGAUGGGGACAAAGAGAAACUCAGGACAAAAUUUAUAUUUAAAAAAUUCUGCCUGAAAGCAUUGGAGAACCAAUAAUGCAGUGAAAAGCUAUGUGGCUAAGAUCAUUUAGAAGAUAGAAAUACAGAGAGGGGAAACCUGGCAUUAGCGUCUGCUUUCAUCUUGUAUUGUCAAUUUUAGGGCA